UGGGGGAUAUUGCACAAUGGGCGAAAGCCUGAUGCAGCGACGCCGCGUGGGGGAUGAAGGCUUUCGGGUUGUAAACCUCUUUCGCUAUCGAACAAGGCCCGCUUAGGGUGGGUUGAGGGUAGGUGGAGAAGAAGCGCCGGCUAACUACGUGCCAGCAGCCGCGGUAAUACGUAGGGCGCGAGCGUUGUCCGGAAUUAUUGGGCGUAAAGGGCUUGUAGGCGGCUUGUUGCGCCUGCUGUGAAAACGCGGGGCUUAACUUCGCGCGUGCAGUGGGUACGGGCAGGCUUGAGUGUGGUAGGGGUGACUGGAAUUCCAGGUGUAGCGGUGGAAUGCGCAGAUAUAUGGAGGAACACCAGUGGCGAAGGCGGCUCUCUGGUCUGUAACUGACGCUGAGGCUCGAAAGCGUGGGGAGCAAACAGG
rnacentral:rRNA from 1 species